CUAGCGACUUCAGAGUUUGAUCCUGGCUCAGGAUUAACGCUGGCGGCAUGCCUAAUACAUGCAAGUCGAAUGGUAGCAAUACCAUGGCGAACGGGUGAGUAACACGUAGGUAACCUGCCUUUAAGACGAGGAUAACCGUUGGAAACGACGGAUAAUACUGGAUAGGACAGCAAAAAUCGCAUGAUUAGUUGUUUAAAGGAGCAAUCCACUUAAAGAGGGGCCUGCGGCGCAUUAGCUAGUUGGUGAGAUAAAAGCCCACCAAGGCGAUGAUGCGUAGCCGGACUGAGAGGUUGAACGGCCACAAUGGAACUGAGAACGGUCCAU
rnacentral:rRNA from 1 species